GCUUACGGCCAUACCUCUCUGGCUCUGCCUGAUCUCGUCUGAUCUCAGAAGCUAAGCAGAGUAGGGCCUGGUUAGUACUUGGAUGGAAGACCGCCCGGGAAUCCCAGGUGCCGUAAGCU
ensembl:rRNA 5S_rRNA 5S ribosomal RNA